rnacentral:rRNA from 1 species
CGAACGCUGGCGGCGUGCCUAAUACAUGCAAGUUGAGCGCUGAAGGUUGGUACUUGUACCGACUGGAUGAGCAGCGAACGGGUGAGUAACGCGUGGGGAAUCUGCCUUUGAGCGGGGGACAACAUUUGGAAACGAAUGCUAAUACCGCAUAAAAACUUUAAACACAAGUUUUAAGUUUGAAAGAUGCAAUUGCAUCACUCAAAGAUGAUCCCGCGUUGUAUUAGCUAGUUGGUGAGGUAAAGGCUCACCAAGGCGAUGAUACAUAGCCGACCUGAGAGGGGGAUCGGCCACAUUGGGACUGAGACACGGCCCAAACUCCUACGGGAGGCAGCAGUAGGGAAUCUUCGGCAAUGGACGAAAGUCUGACCGAGCAACGCCGCGUGAGUGAAGAAGGGUUUCGGAUCGUAAAACUCUGUUGGUAGAGAAGAACGUUGGUGAGAGUGGAAAGCUCAUCAAGUGACGGUAACUACCCAGAAAGGGACGGCUAACUACGUG